UGGUCCUAACCCUAAAGUCAACUCGUAUUCAACUUACACAUGCAAGUUUCAGCACCCCCGUGAGAACGCCCUAAACCUCCUAUUUGGAGGAAGGAGCUGGUAUCAGGCACACUAUAUAGCCCAAAACACCUAGCUACGCCACAUCCUCAAGGAACCCUCAGCAGUGACCAAUAUUGAAAAUAUGCGACAGCAAGAUUCAGUUAGAGUACAGAGAGCCGGCAAAAUUGGUGCCAGCCGCCGCGGUUACACCAAUAGACUCUAGUUGACCCUAUCGGCGUAAAGCGUGAUUAAAGUUUUUUCCCCCCAUUAAAGAUGAAAUCCUCACUAAGCUGUGACACGCUUGUGCAUGAGAAAGCCAGAAACGAAAGUUACUUUAAUUUAACCCACUUGAAUUCACGACAGUUAAGACACAAACUGGGAUUAGAUACCCCACUAUGCUUAAUCGUAAACUUUAAAUUACAACAUAAACGCCAGAGAACUACGAGCAAAGCUUAAAACUCAAAGGACUUGACGGUACCCCACAUCCACCUAGAGGAGCCUGUCCUAUAAUCGAUAACCCCCGCUUUACCUCACCAUUUUUAGUUAGUCAGUCUGUAUACCUCCGUCGUCAGCUUACCACGUGAGCGAACCAUAGUAAGCCUAAUGCCAAUGCGCCAAUACGUCAGGUCAAGGUGCAACUAAAAAAAUGUGGAAGAGAUGGGCUACACUCUCUAAUUUAGAAAACACGAAAAACUUUAUGAAAUCUAGUUAGAAGGCGGAUUUAGCAGUAAAAAGAAACUAGAGAGUUCUUUUUAAUACGGCACUGGGGUGUGUACACACCGCCCGUCACCCUCUUCAAGACCCUAACUUCAUAGUAUCUAACUAAUUCCCUACUUUAAGAAGAGGUAAGUCGUAACAUGGUAAGUAUACCGGAAGGUGUGCUUGGAAA
rnacentral:ncRNA from 1 species